rnacentral:rRNA from 1 species
UUGGAAUCGCUCCGGCGAGUUGUAGUCUGGAGGCGGCCGGUCCGCCUUGCGCAACCAAAUCUAAGUCCUCUGGAACGAGGCGCUUGAAAGGGUGACAGCCCCGUGGAUUUUUGUUGUUGUGCUUGGCCCCUGGUCUGCCGACGAGUCGAGUUGUUUGGGAAUGCAGCUCUAAGUGGGUGGUAAAUUCCAUCUAAAGCUAAAUACCGGCGAGAGACCGAUAGCGAACAAGUACAGUAAUGGAAAGAUGAAAAGCACUUUGAAAAGAGAGUGAAACAGUACGUGAAAUUGUUGAAAGGGAA